CUGAAAUUACACUUGUGUCUGCCUGUCCUCAGCACCACACGCUCCUUCCAUUUCUCUCCUGCCAGCACUGAUGCUCAGAAUUCCCUUAAUUGUCCUAAAAACUGCCUCCAGGCAGCCAGGGAUAGGAUCAAUAAUCCAAACUUGAGGUCACCUGGAGGCAGCCAGAUCCCUUCUCCUGCCCUGCCCAACAGCCAGUGAGGAGCAGGCAGAGGCCACCAAGACCAGUAACCCACUGGGACUGGCCAGUGCUGGGUGCCACAGGAACUGUGUGAGAGCAGGUCUGCAACAACCCUUCCCUCACAGGCUCUCUGAAUGCUCAAUGCACAGGUGGAGACAAGAAGUACCCGCUGGUGAUUUGGUGCUGGUUUAGCAGGAAGGAGAUGGAACACGAGGCCUCGG